rnacentral:rRNA from 1 species
AGUGAACGCUGGCGGCGUGCUUAACACAUGCAAGUCGAACGAGAACGGAUUAAAGCUUGCUUUAAUUGUCAGCUAAGUGGCGCACGGGUGAGUAAUAUAUAGGUAACGUGCCUUCAAGAAGGGGAUAACGUUUGGAAACGAACGCUAAUACCCUAUAUGCCUUUAAGACUUAAGUCUGCAAGGGAAUAUUCAUAGCUUGAAGAUCGGCCUGUACAGUAUCAGUUAGUUGGUGAGGUAAUGGCUCACCAAGACAAUGACGCUUAACUGGUUUGAGAGGAUGAUCAGUCACACUGGAACUGAGACACGGUCCAG